CAGUCGUACUGGCGGGCAAUCAGCCUUUUGGGUGUGAUUAUGUGGGGCGUGAGGAGUUAAUCACCCUCAUCUUUACAUAUUCGUGCAUCCAGGCCGAAGCCUAGAUUGAAGUCAGACUGGCUUGUCUGUAAUCAAUCUAGGCUUCGGCCUGGAUGCACUUGCUCGUGUGGUAGGUUAACAUCAAUUUUGAUCGUCAUAAAAUGAUUGGAGGAAUGUAGCUUCGAUCUUGUAUUGAAGUGUUAUAGCCUUCGGUAGAUGUGAUGAUUGGGAUUGAGGAUUGCAACGGAUACCCUUCGGGGCUACCUGUCUGAUCUCUGAAAGUUGCUCUGGUGCCGAAAGCUUGCUUACGGUAUUAAAGUUGACGUUCAACAGGUUAGAACGGGAUAAA
rnacentral:rRNA from 1 species